GGGAAGCGCUUGCAACCAGACCUGCCUGCAGUUGCUCAUCCGGGCUUUUGCCCGGUGCACUCUUCUGCUGUCAGGCCAGCAUCGGUUCGGGCGGUCGGAUAAAGGCUUCGGGAAUGUAGCUCCUCUCGAGGAGUGUUAUAGCCCGUUGCGAAAUGCGGCCAGCCUGAACUGAGGUCCGCGCUUCGGCUAGGAUGCUGGCGUAAUGGUUGUAAGCGGCCCGUCUUGAAACACGGACCAAGGAGUCUAACAUCUGUGCGAGUGUUUGGGUGUCAAACCCGUACGCGUAAUGAAAGUGAACGGAGGCGGGAACCCCUCGGGGUGCACCGUCGACCGAUCCUGAUGUCUUCGGAUGGAUUUGAGUAAGAGCAUAGCUGUUGGGACCCGAAAGAUGGUGAACUAUGCCUGAAUAGGGUGAAGCCAGAGGAAACUCUGGUGGAGGCUCGCAGCGGUUCUGACGUGCAAAUCGAUCGUCAAAUUUGGGCAUAGGGGCGAAAGACUAAUCGAACUAUCUAGUAGCUGGUUCCUGCCGAAGUUUCCCUCAGGAUAGCAGUAACGUUUUCAGUUUUAUGAGGUAAAGCGAAUGAUUAGAGGCCUGGGGGUUGAAACAACCUUCACCUAUUCUCAAACUUUAAAUAUGUAAGAAGUCCUUGUUGCUUAGUUGAACGUGGACAUUUGAAUGUAUCGUUACUAGUGGGCCAUUUUUGGUAAGCAGAACUGGCGAUGCGGGAUGAACCGAACGCGGAGUUAAGGUGCCGGAAUGCACGCUCAUCAGACACCACAAAAGGUAAUAGUUCAUCUAG
rnacentral:rRNA from 1 species